GGGAGAACUGGAGAGGUAGAGGCGUUCCCGUGUGGAGUGGUGGAGAGGGCUUCAUGAGCUCCAUCGGCGGCCCUGGCCUUUCUGUGUGACUCAGCCUUCCCGUGUGUGACAGCAGGGUUGGGGACAAGCUGGUGGCUGGUGCCCAUGGCCCCUCUCAGCUGGGCUGCACGGGUUUGUGGUUGGAGUUGGGGCACUCUUUGGGCCUGAAAUCUGCCGAAGCCUCCUCUGAGUAGAAUGGGGACCUCGAGGGGAGGCCAAGGGCUGCCUCUCUGGGUCAGGAUGGGGGCCCUGGUCUUGCAUCUUUUCCCCACCCGGCCUCCUUCCUGGUGACUCUGAGCUGCUUCCUCCUUCCUCUGCCAGACCCUGGGCCCUGGGGACUUGCUCUCCCCAAGGCUCCCCUGCCACCUUCUGGCUUCAGCUAUCCCUGGAUUUGGGCCGUGGGUUCAGAUGGGUUCUAGGCAGUAUGAUGCCCUGGCAUCCCGGAUGGAAGCUAGAUUUGAGGCUCUGGGGUUGGACCCUAGAGUGGGGGUGGCCUGGGGUUCCUUCAGUCGUGCCCUGCGGCCACAGUGUCCCUGCCGGACUGAGGAGCCCGCAAACCCUAAACCCGGGCCUGACCUGGUCACACACGGUUCUCAGCGCUCUCCCGGCCCCUCUGAGCUCCCUCUGUCUGGUGCUCUCUCCUGGCUCUGUGUCCCCCGGUCCUGGCUCUGGGUCCCCCCCAGAGGCUGCAGUCAGUAGACUGGGCGGGGGGAGAGGGGAAAUUGGGACCUGUUCUUCCCCUUGAGAGCCUGGGGGUGGCUCAGGUGCCCCUAACGCAGGUGCCAGUUGUCUUUGGAAGCUGGAGGUGGGGGAGGGUGACCGCAGGGGCGCCUCCUGCCAGGGUCCCCUCCCCCGAUGCUUUUCCUGUGUCAUUAUCUCCUCCAGGAGCCUCGAAGGGUAAAUUAGGGAGAGAGCAGGGGUGAACCAGGGGACUCGCAGGCUGGGGGAGGCAGGCUGCUCCUGAAGAGGGGCCUUGAGACUCAGGGGAAGUGGGAACUUCUGCACAACUGGCUCCUGGUCCGCUCUCUGCACAGUCCCCUGACCCGCCUGAUCUCAGGGAGAAGCUUAGGGCUCCCCUGCCCCCUGGGCUCUGUGAGGUAGGACCCCUAACACUGGCUUCUCAUUGCCCUCAAGGAAGGCGCUCCCUCUCCAAGGCCCCGGGUGAGGUCCCCUCUUACCCUUGGGGGGAGGAACCAGUGAGUCUGUCCCUGGAAGAGCAGGGUGUGGCCUCGGAUCAGUCACGUCCUUGCUUUAUGCCUCAACCUUCCCUUCUGCGAAGUGGGGCUGAUGAUCUGCCCACAGGCUGGUGCACUGUGAGUGGGUGGGGUGGUCGCACCCCCCCAGGGGCAGGAGAGAGGGAAUAAACACGGUCCACUGUCUCAGCUGCAUCCCAGGGUCCCAGGGUCCCGCCCUGGCCCCUCCUGCCUGCCCCCUACUGAUUUCUGAGCGCAGAGCUGGGCACUCUGGGCCGCGGUGUAACCUGGUGGACUUGAGUCAACUCAAAAGAGAUUGGGCCUCCCCUAACUCCGCACCCCUGGUAAAGCCCGGAAGUUCUCCCGUCCACUAGCCUGACUCGCUCCUGCUGUCCCUUUCCUUCCGCCUCUAGGAAGAUGGGGAGCAGCUGUCCAGCCCUCCUGCUGGCUGCCGCGGUGGAGACAAUGCCCCCUUGUUCCGGGCCUGGGGCUCCAGUCUCGCUCCCUGGGCUGUGGGUGGGGAUGGCGUGGCGUGGGCUCCGGGGUAAGAGGGCGAGACGCUGUCUUGCUUUGCUGAGGAGGCAGAAACCAGUGUGAGCUCAGCCAGGGGGCUAACAAAAGAGGCCCCGACUCACCCUUGGGCUAUGGGGAGCCCCUCAAAGUCGGGUCUCUCCCACCCCAUAUUCCAUAUUUGCCUUCUGUGUGGUGCUGCCCCCACAGUUGGGAGCAGGAGGCCCGGGACCAGGCCUGGCUCAGCCUCUGAUGUGCUCUGAGACCUUGACAGAGUUAUCGUGGGCCUCGGUGUUCCCUCUGUGCAGUGGGGGGUUAGACUGCCUGGUCUUUGGAGCUCUCUAGGAAGGACUCAGCCUGCAGGGUGGUCAAGGGAAGCAGGAAGAGUCGGGCUGUGGCUGGAAGGGAGAGAAAGGCAGCUCUGUGCAUGCGACUGACCGGCUGGAAGAACGCAGGAGCCCAGGGAGCGAGGGCGAACUCACUUUGGCUUUCUGAGCACACCUGCUUGCAGAUGUGCUGCGGGGAGGAGCCCAGCUGUGGAGGCUGCUUGCCCUUCCCCCUCCCCCGCCCCCUUGUCGUUGCCACAAAGGCCUGAGAUAGGCCCGAUGCUCAGUGACUCUUCACCCCAGGUCCUCCCCUGCGCUGGCCUCCAAGUACAGAGUCCUGGGGUCCAGGCUUCUGCGCACAGCCUGACCCCCAUUUGACAGCAGUGGUGGCUCAGCCCAGACACAGGAGGUGACUUGUGUGGCAGAAUCAGAUGGGUGGACUCAUAAAACUCGAGCAGAUUGAAAUAGGAACAGUGGCUAACAUUUAUUAAACACUGACUGUAUGCCCAACACUCUGGAGGUUUCACUCUUCAAAUGUGAAAGCUGUGAGAACCUCACCCGGCCGCGUUCUUGGAGGCGCAGACCCUAGAUCCUCACGGCUUGACGAGCUCAUCAAGCGUCUUAGUGGUGAAGGGGCCCAGGGGGUCCCUGUUUCUUGGUGGAAUUGACCCGCCAUCUGAGGAGUGCCGCAGGGUCGGGGGGCCGUCCCCUGCACCCCCCCAGCCGCCUGAACACCUUCCCGGUACUCAUUUAAUUCACUGGGGCCUGGGUUUGCCAUGGGAAGAGCUUCAAGGCUCAGAAAGGAGAGUGCCGACUUUGGGGUCACUCGUGGGCAGGGCAGAGCCAGGUCCAUGCACCACCCUGCCCCGGCCCCCACCCCUGCCUCCGGCUCCCGCCUUGCAGGGCCAGCCGGCUGUGGCUCUUUGUCACCUUUCUUCUCUCCGUCUCUCCUUGGCAAGGAACCCACAGGAGGUGGGGUUCUCUCCUUUCCCUCCUUGGCUCUUUGCUCUGAUUUUUCCAUGGAAACUGGUUCUGGGAGGGGAGGCGACUAGGACGUUUGGAAUUCUGAGCGGUACCGAAUAUCUAUAAUUAAAUGUCUUGUCACCCUGCAGGGGGAGGGUGGGAAGGGGGAGGACAGGCAGAGGCUGUCCCUUCCCUCUAUUUAUUCCCCGCUCCCCCGACUCCUUCCUGGGCGCCCUGAGCUCCUGGGGGAGCGAGGCCCAGGACUGGCGCCCUCCCCAACACCCGCCGGGAAGAGCUGGGGGAUGGACCAGGGUUGAGGCUGACAUUUUCCAGCCCCUCAUUUCCAGAACCAGCUGGGUUUGGGAGGCUGGAAGGCUGCUGUUAAUCCCGUCCCCAGCCCCCUCCCAGUAGGGACCUGCCCCUCCUGCCUCCUUCCCGCCCGACCCGUCUGUGAUCUCUCAGCUACACCUGCUGGCCCGCAGUGGGGCGGGGGCGCCUCCAGGCCAGCGGAAGAGCCAGAAACACCCAGUGGCCAGGAGGGGCUGCAGGAUGUCAAGGCACUGGCCUGGGGCUGGCAGGAGAGGCUUCUUGGAUGAGGCUCUGACUGGAGCCUGGCUUUGAAAACUGGAAGAAUCUGAAUAUCCAGAGACGAGAGGGAGAGGUUCUAGGAGGAGGGCACAUGGGGCAGAGGCUGGGAGCAGAUGGAGCAUGUUAAACCACGAGCCACAGGAGCUUGUUUCAGAGACUUGGCUCAGCCUUGGUAAUAAGGUGACGCGUUCCUCCAUUUCACAAAUACUGAACCCCUGGACACUCAGGCACUCUGCUGGCCCCUGGAAUACAGCAGCCAGCAGAACACAGGCUUGGCCUCCUGGAGCUUCCAGACUGGUGGAGACCUGUCUACAAACAACACAUGGUCGGAGUUCCCAUCGUGGCUCAGCGGAAAUGAGUCUGACUAGGAACCAUGAGGACACAGGUUCAAUCCCCAGCCUCACUCAGUGGGUUAAGGAUCCAGCAUUGCCGUGAGCUGUGGUGUACGUCGCAGACGCAGCUUGGAUCUGCGUGGCUGUGGCUGUGGCUGUGGUGUAGGCCAGUGGCUGCAGCUCCGAUUUGACCCUAGCCUGGGAACCUCCAUAUGCCGUGGGUGCAGCCCUAAAAAAGAGACAAAACAAAACAAAGACAGUGCAUUGUCCAUCAGGGAGGGAUGGGGGCUGGACAGCAAGGUGAGGGACUAGAGAAGGACCAGGAGGCGCUGUUUAGACUGAGGUCUGAGAAGGCCUCAGAGGAGAUGCGUUUGGAGUAGAGGCCUGCGGGGAGUAAGCCUGGGGCUGCCUGGGGGCGGGGGACAGAAAGUGCAAAGGCCCUGCGGUAGAGGUGAGGUUGGAGGGGAGGCCUGUGGGUGGCGUCAAGGAGGGGUCAGCUCAGAAUUCGGGGAGGGCGGAAGUGGGUCGGGGCCGAAGGGGUGCGUUUCCUCGGCGGUGGGGGCCCGUCCGUCUGUGUUUACCUGAGCGAAGGUUUUCCGUGGACAGUGACCCGGUCUGACGCAGCCUCUCACAGGCUUGCCCCGGGGCAGAGGCGGUAAGGUGGUGGGUCUCGGUGGAGGGUUUCGGGAGGGCCUGGGCUCCAGCAUUCCGGGCGAGCUCAGAGCUGCGCAGCCCCGGCGGCUGGGCCGCGUGUGAGGGUGGUGGACAAAGGCCCGGGGAGGCGGGAGCUGCGGGCCGCCCGGGCCGCCCUGCAGGCCUCUGCUGGUGGAGCUGCCCAGGCCUCAUGGCCGUCUCAGGGCCCCAGGGCAGCGAGAUGGGCCUCCCGGGGGUUCCCGGGGUUCGGAUGAAGCCGGCCCAGUGCGGCCAGCGGUGCGCCAGGGCCCUGCGUCUCCCGUGUGGAAUCUGGGCCAAGGUGUCCUGACUCCGCGGCCAUACGUCGGCCCCGCCGAGUUCCCACCGAGCCGAGUUGGCGGGGAUUCUGGUCGUAGGGCGGGGGGAGGGGAGCCCAUGUUUCCCAGAAAGGCUCGAAGCCCUGGCGUAUUUAUUGGGAAAUAGGCCCAGGCAGCCUGGCGCCUGGCUGGCAGGCCCUGAAAUGAGCGCCCUGGGUCCCUGGGGAAGCAGGAGGCUAUUAGAGCCAGCACCCCGCCCCCCAUGGGAGUUGAUCCUCCAGGCAGUCCCUCCACCGCCCACCCCCAGGCCUCUAGAGCAUUCCAGGCGUGGACAGAGGCAGAGCAAGACUGCCAGGCUGCCAUGCUCUGAGCCAUGCGUGAGCCCAGCCCGUGACCGCAGGGCCUAGGCCCCAGUCAGGGUGUCCGAGCCCCCUCCUGUGGUGGUGGCCGAGGGGCUCAGCAGGGGUGACCUGGCAUCCACACGGGGGGCCAGGAGGCCUGGGUUCCAGCCUUAGUCUCUCCAUUUUCCUGCUGUGUGGCCUUAAGGAAGACCCCUCUUCGAGCCAUGGAUUCCUCCGUGUUCUGGGGCAUCAGGAAAAACCUCCUUUCCUGCUGGGAGAGGCAGCAGCCAACCUUAGGAGGAUCCCGGCUUGUGGACUGAAGCAGGCGGGUCGGGGGCUCCUAGCCGCUCUGGGCUGCUAAGGAGACAGAGGCCCAGAGUGGGGCUGGGCCCCAGCCAGGCCUGGCUCCUGGGACCCAUUUCUCCACGACCAGUAGCUGCCCUAGGCUCUGCCUCGCCCCACGCUGUGGCCCGGCCUUGGGCUCCCCCCGGGGCCCAUGCUCGGGAGUGUUCAUGCCGCUGCCACUGGAUGUUCAAGCUUCCUGGGGCUCAGGGAUGUCCCGGGGCUCUGAGAUGCUCCCUCUGCAGGGGCAGCAUCGAGGGGAGUCUCUAGAGGUCCCCGAGGUGGGAAGGACGUGAGCUGAUUCCAGGGUCUAGGGUGGCACCUGGGUGGAAUAUUCAUUUCCUGUUGCUAUUGGAGCAAAUCUGUCCACAUUUAGUGGCUUAAGACACUAGAAAUAUUAUCUCACACUUUUGGAGAUCAGAAAAAGUAGGUUUCACUGAGCUAAAAUUAAGAUGUUAGCAGGACUGCGUGUCUUCCAGGGGCUUUAGGGAAAAACCUGUUUCCCUUCCCUGUUCCAGCUCUGGUAGCUGCCGGCACUUCUGGGCCCCUUGGUCCAUUCUCAAAGCGGGCAGUUCGGCACCUUCACAGCUCUCACUCUGAACCAGACCUCCUGCUUCCCUCUUCCAGGGACCCUUGUGAUAACUCCGGGCCCACUGAGACCGUCCACGAUACUCUCCCCAUCUCACAAUCUUUCGUCACGUCUGCAGAGUCCUGUUUGCCGUGUAUGAUAAUAUAGCCACAGGGUCUGGGGUUAGGAGGCAGAUGUCUUUGGGGACCACUGUUCUGCCUGUCACAGGUGGGCAGAGGGGCCAGGCUGUCGGCUCCUGGGAGCCAGAGCCCCUGGCAGGUGCUGGUCACAGGGCAGAGCUGGAGAAUCAGGCCCACGGCGUUUAUCCUGCCUGCACUUCUUUCCCAGGUCAUUGGUCAUUCACUCACUCAGCAGUCAGUUGUCGAGCCCCUUGAUGAGCGGUGUGGACGCGCAGAGAAAGCUCGGGCAUCGCCCCGCUUGUCGGGAGCUCACGGCAAGGGUCUUAUCUCCCCUGAGGAGCUGAGCCCUGGUUUGGUGGGAGAGGGACAGAAGAGCCAGUGGGUCCCCUGUGGGUGGGCUUAGAUUCUAGGGGCAGCUGGCUAGAAUGGAGGUGAAGUAGCUCCCAAGAAGGGCAGGCGCGCUUAGAGCCAGGGCGGAGAGAGGAGGUGGGGCUAGGGUGGGGGUGGCAGGCGCGUGUCUUUUAGGCUGGCCCUGGGGGACCCGGCAGAUGGCCAGGAGCUCCCUCCCCAGGCGCUGGGAUCUCUGUCUUGGAUUGGGGACCCUGGGGCUCUUGGACCAGAGGGCCUGUCAGGUCCCUUCAGGCCCUGGAGGUGGCCUGUGGAGGGGAAGGAGCAUGGCUUGUAGUUCUGCUCUCCUCCAGCUGGCUUUGGAGCCCAGAGCAAGCAUUUACAGACCCCUCUGAGCCAGAAAACGGGGCCAUGAUCCUCUCACUCCCCCGAGGGUGACUGUUAAGUUUAGACGAAAUGAUGCCCCAAGGGAGUCCUCAGGAAAUAUCAGUUCUAUAGUUGCCAUUGUGGUGCAAUGCAACGAAUCCGACUAGGAUCCAUGAGGACGCAGGGUCCAUCCCUGGCCUCGCUCAGUGGGUUAAGGAUCUGGCAUUGCUGUGAGCUGUGGUGUAGGUUGCAGACGCAGCUCGGAUCCCGUGUUGCUGUGAGCAGUGGUGUAGGCCAGCAGCUGUAGCUCCAAUUCGACCCCUAGCCUGGGAACCUCCAUGUGCCACUGGUGGGGCCCUAAAAGGCAAAAAAAAAAAAAA
rnacentral:lncRNA from 1 species